AGCGUAGACGGCGAAGCAAGUCUGAAGUGAAAACCCAGGGCUCAACCCUGGGACUGCUUUGGAAACUGUUUUGCUAGAGUGUCGGAGAGGUAAGUGGAAUUCCUAGUGUAGCGGUGAAAUGCGUAGAUAUUAGGAGGAACACCAGUGGCGAAGGCGGCUUACUGGACGAUAACUGACGCUGAGGCUCGAAAGCGUGGGGAGCAAACA
rnacentral:rRNA from 1 species